CCCCGGGGACGGCCCCAGGGAAUAUCGAAUUUUGCGGGACGACCCGC
rnacentral:ncRNA from 1 species